rnacentral:lncRNA from 1 species
UUGUAUUGCAUCUCCAACAUUUGUUAAUUAUUUUUGUGCGUCUGCUUUUGAGACCAUUAACAGCUGUACAUUUAGAAAUAACGUUGCCCUUCCUUUCUAAGGCUGUUUUGAAGUCUCCUUCUUUAACUGCAGUAACAAACCAGAAGUAUUUCCAGUCCACAUCUUACUUUCCUUUACGUUUUUGAACGUUAUGUAAAUAGGUGAGUUUUAAACAUGGGUAACAAAUGUGGAGCCCUCGUCCAAGCUGGGCAUAGGUUAUAAACAUUGUUCCUUCCGUUUUGUAUGAAGAUGUGAGUAUCACCUACCUACCUUGCAGCCUCUUGUACAAGCUCAUGUUGCCCAUGUUAGGGCCUUUGCUGAUGGCAGUGGCUCCUCUGUAUUCCCCAGAUACCAACCUGUGAUGUAUCACCUCUUUUCUCUCCCUCCUUUCCAAGGGCAUUCUGCUCUGCCCCCGACCGUGCUGUUGGCGUGUUGCAGGACGCGGACCUGUUAGUGCUGGAGAGCUGAGCAGCCCCAGUGAGCACACCAAAGGCUGCCAAAGGAAGGAAGUGGAAUUCUGGGCAGUUUGGAGGUUUUGAAGACAACCUUGCAAUGCUCAACGGUUCCUGAGCAGCCUGCUCUAAAUCGUCUUGAAGCAAGCUCAGCCUUCAGAAGGAGUCUGAAGAGAUUCAUGGAGGCCGGCAAUGGCACUGUUCCUGGGGAAGACUGGAGAAGGAAAGCUCAAAAUUACCCAUAUAAACAGCUCCUGAGGAACGAAUGGCUAACGAAAGGAAGAAGCUGUCUUGAGCGUUUGCAGUGCCAUGAUGUUCUGCCAUCCAAAAGGGAAUUAAUCGCUGAGUGGCAUGAAGAGCGCACAGCAGAGACAGCAGGCAUGGUCCAGACCUCAGGGGACUAAUUACAUCCUUAAAGGGUAAGAAAAUAAUCUGAGGUGCAUUGGAAAGAAAGAGUCUUAUUAAUGCUCCAUAAUACUCAUGUGCCCAGAGUUACUGGCGUAGCUCCAAUAUUUCUCCAUUAAAAAAAUAGAGACACUGGGAGAUACAAGGAUAUUUAUUGACCUAAAAAAAAAUAUCAGCAAGAAGCUCAAGAGAAUAUAUUAAAUACAUAAACUUGUUUGAGUUUUAAGAAGUGUCGCGGCAUACGCUGUAAGAUGGCAGUGAAUGAGAUUGAUUGUCUGUAAGCUGACGACGGAGAAGGGGACCCAUGAAAGAGAUGGUGAAGGGGGAAGCUGUUUGAAUCUGCUUACAGAAAUAGCAGGGUUUGGGGUAGGGGGACUGUUCCACGCACCUCGUGCAUCACGGGACAAGCCAGAGGUCAGGCAAUACGCAGCCACCGUCAGGAAAACCUGAUGCCAGA